rnacentral:rRNA from 1 species
AGAGUUUGAUCCUGGCUCAGGAUGAACGCUAGCGGCAGGCCUAAUACAUGCAAGUCGAACGUGAUUGGAGGAGCUUGCUUUUCCAUGAAAGUGGCGCACGGGUGCGUAACGCGUAUGCAACCUGCCUUCAUCAGGGGGAUAGCCUCUUGAAAGAGAGAUUAACACCGCAUAAAAUCACAAGCUGGCAUCAGCAAAUGAUCAAAUAUUAAUAGGAUGAAGAUGGGCAUGCGUGACAUUAGUUAGUUGGUGAGGUAACGGCUCACCAAGACGACGAUGUCUAGGGGAUCUGAGAGGAUGACCCCCCACACUGGUACUGAGAUACGGACCAGACUCCUACCGGAGGCAGCAGUAAGGAAUAUUGGUCAAUGGACGCAACUCUGAACCAGCCAUGCCGCAGUGCAGGAAGAAGGCCCUAUGGGUUGUAAACUGCUUUUGCACCAGAAUAACCCCCCGUAUGCGUACGGGGCUGAAUGUAUGGUACGAAUAAAGAUCGGCUAACUCCGUGCCAGCAGUCAGCGGUAAUACCGACGAUCCACGCGUGAUCCGGAUGCAUUGGGUCUACGGGUGCGUAUGCAGCUUGUGAAGUAANCGCGUGAAAUGACUGGUGGUCUCAGCCCAUCAGCAGUUGCCCUUUUUGAAUACGGCAUUGAAGCCUUUGAAAUUAUAACGUCNAGGGUAAGGCUNGAACAUGUGACCACAGUANUCUGGUGCAANUGCCCUUUGAUAAUGUCCCAGGAACCCCAAAUUUGCCGAUGGCAACUUUCACUUUUGUUAUGACUUGACCCCUAAGGCUC